rnacentral:rRNA from 1 species
GACGAACGCUGGCGGCGUGCCUAAUACAUGCAAGUUGAGCGCUGAAGGUUGGUACUUGUACCGACUGGCUGAGCAGCGAACGGGUGAGUAACGCGUGGGGAAUCUGCCUUUGAGCGGGGGACAACAUUUGGAAACGAAUGCUAAUACCGCAUAAAGACUUUAAACACAAGUUUUAAGUUUGAAAGAUGCAAUUGCAUCACUCAAAGAUGAUCCCGCGUUGUAUUAGCUAGUUGGUGAGGUAAAGGCUCACCAAGGCGAUGAUACAUAGCCGACCUGAGAGGGUGAUCGGCCACAGUGGGACUGAGACACGGCCCAAACUCCUACGGGAGGCAGCAGUAGGGAAUCUUCGGCAAUAGACGAAAGUCUGACCGAGCAACGCCGCGUGAGUGAAGAAGGUUUUCGGAUCGCAAAACUCUGUUGGUAGAGAAGAACGUUGGUGAGAGUGGAAAGCUCAUCAAGUGACGGUAACUACCCAGAAAGGGACGGCUAACUACGUG